rnacentral:misc_RNA from 1 species
UCUCCGUAGGUGAACCUGCGGAGGGAUCAUUACAGAGUUCAUGCCCUACCGGGUAGAUCUCCCACCCUAUGUUAUUAUUACUUUGUUGCUUUGGCGGGCCGUUAGGCUCCGGCCCGACUACCGGCCCCGGCUGGUAAGCGCCCGCCAGAGGACCCAAAACCCUGAAUAUUAGUGUCGUCUGAGUACUAUAUAACAGUUAAAACUUUCAACAACGGAUCUCUUGGCUCUG